GAGGGGUGAGCGAGCAGAGUCUGCUUUUCAGGAAGCCCACCCAAGAGAGCUGGCUGUCGGCCACGUGAUGGGGAGCCAGAGACAGAGAUCACAAGUAGGC